GCUCAGUGGUUAGAGUGUUGGCCCACAGACCAAAGGGUCUGGGUUCAAUUCCCAG
rfam:Myotis lucifugus cont2.5094, whole genome shotgun sequence.